GUGGAGACGGCGUCUUAGGAUUUUUAAUUUUUUGUGUUUAUAAUCGCGAAAAUUGGCGAUUUCGUUUUGUUUUUGCGAAGCCCGCCUCCUCCUGUCGGUUGCGUUAGAUGUUGAUCAGCAGUUGGCUGUGGUCAAGUAGGUUUUAGCGUCAGUUCUUGUAGGCGCUCGUCAGUCUGAGUUUUGAGAGAGUAUGGAGGCAGAUAGAAGUGCGCUUUUCCAUCAGAUAAAGAUGUCGUUUUACUAGAUAUAAGUAUUUGUAAGUUUAAUUGGAUGUAUCCAUGUCAAGAUUGUUGUCUCUUCCUUGAGUAAUUAUUGCCAAUAAAAUGUCGAUUUUCUUUUCUAAA